rnacentral:lncRNA from 1 species
AAUUAAAUCUUGUUCGCUGUUUAAUUUACAAAAACAAACACCCCGCCAUUCAUUACUAUUUUAUUACUAUUUGUUAUGAACGUUGACCAUUGCUCGUUGGGAGACGGCCUAGAAUCACUUCCUAGAUACUGCAUUUUUAAUGUUUAUUUGAUUCGGGUACGACCUCGAUCAAUGACCCAAAAUUGCUAACAAUCUCCCACUGGUCACAAAUAUAUAUAUAUAUAUAUAUAUAUAUAUAUAUAUAUAUAUAUAUAUAUAUAUAUAUAUAUAUAGCGAUAUCUGAAUAUUAAAACAUAUAUAUAUAUAUAUAUAUAUAUAUAUAUAUAUAUAUAUAUAUAUAUAUAUAUAUAUAUAUAUAUAUAUAUAUAUGUAUGUAUGUAUGUAUAUCCAAAUGCCAAGAUAUGUAUACAUAAAAUCUAACAUAGAACAUAAAAUACAUUAAAGUGACUAACUCUCACUAAACCAAAGAUUCCUCGAACUGUAAAACACUCAUGUGAGUAACAUGCUCAUGAAAGAUCUUGGGUGGAAAUCCCUUAGUAAAAGGAUCUGCUAUCAUGGAGUUUGUCCCUAAGUGUUCUAUGGAAAUUUGUUCAUUCUGUACCUUUUCCUUAACAACUAGGAACUUGAUAUCAAUAUGUUUCAACUUGGUCGAGCUCCUAUUAUUGUUAGAAUGCAAUACAACUGAUUUAUUGUCACAAUAUAACUUAAGUGGUCUUUCAAUUUCUUCCACAAUUUGCAGCCCUGUGAUAAAAUUUCUCAGCUAUAUUCCAUGAUUUGAUGUCUCAUAGCAUGCCACAAAUUAUGUUGCCAUAGUGGAUGAAGUAGUAAGGGUUUUCUUGGCACUGCGCCAAGAAACCGCACCACCAGCUAACAUGAAAAUGUAACCUGAAGUGCAUCUCAAACUAUCUAGGCAUCCUGCAAAAUUCGAGUCAGAAUACCCAGUAAUCUCCAACUGAUCUGACCUCUUGUAUGUGAGCAUACAAUACUUUGUUCUCUUUAAAUACCUCAUAACUCUUUUGGCUGUUUUCCAAUGAUCCAUUCCUGGAUUGCUUAAAUUUUUGUCUAAUACCCCAACUAUGUAUACUAUAUCCGAACUUGUACAUACUUGGGCAUACAUCAAACUCCCUACAGCUGAUGCAUAGGGAAUCUUCUGCAUUUCUAGAAUUCCCAAAUUUCUUUUUGGGCACUGUUUGAGACUGAACUUGUCUCCCUUAGCAACUAGAGUAUCCCCGAAUUUACAUUCCUGCGUGCCAAACCUUUUAAGUACCUAAUACAAAGGAGGCGUCACCAAGAUCUUUCAUUUCGAAGUUUCUUGAUAGAAAUCUCUUGGUUUCGUGCAACAUGCCUAUAUCAUUAGUGGCAAGCAUUAUGUCAUCAACAUAUAAGACCAGAAAACGUACUUGCUCCCACUGAAUUUGUGAUACACACAAUCAUCAACAAGAUUCAUCUCGAAACCAAAUAAGAGAAUUACUUGAUGAAAUUUGUGAUAACAUUGACGAGAUGCAUGUUUUAGCCCGUAAAUGGAUUUUGUCAAUUUGCAAACCAUAUUCUUUGGGUCUCCCAACACAAAGUUUUCUGGUUGCACCAUAUAAAUUGUCUCAUCAAUGUUGCCCUUGAGAAAUGUCGUCUUAACAUCCAUUUGAUGAAACUCUAAAUCAUAAUGUGCAACAAGAGCCAUGAUUGUCCUAAAAGAGUCUUUCGAUGAAACUGGAGAGAAAAUCUUUUUAAAGUCAAUCCUUUCCUUUUAGGUAUAGCCAUUUGCCACAAGACGAGCUUUAUACCUCUCCACAUUACCAUUGGAAUCCCGCUUGGUCUUAAAUAUCCAUUUGCAACCAAUGAGUUUCACACCUUCUAGUAAUGGGACAAGUUCCUAAACCUUGUUGUCUUGCAUGGACUUAUGCUUUUCAUUCAUUGCUUUAAUCAUACCAUUAUUUUCCUCACGUUCCUGGCAAAAUACCACAUAAUCAUCUGGAAUAGCAUUUCUCCUUUCUCUUAUAGAUCUCCGCAAAGGUACUAGCUCAUGAAGCAUAGGUUCUUGAGGAUCUUGAGUUUGUUCUUCAUGAACGACCAAAUUAUCUUGAGUGGGAGAUUCAAUAACAAUAUCUUAUAGAGGUUUCAAAUUUGCUUUAUCAAAAGCAACUGUACGAAUUGGUUCUGGAAUUGUUACUGAUUCUUCCUCUAAGACAAAGUCUCUAACCUUAUUCUUCCUCCUAAACUCAAUAUCCUCAAAGAAUGUGGCAGUUCUCAUCUCAAAAAUUGUCUUUAAUUUGGGAUCAUAAAAUUUAUAGCCCCUAGAUCUUUCAGAAUAACCAAUAAAAUAGUUGCUUAUUGUUCAGGAGUCCAAUUUCCUUUCAUUUGGCUUAUAAAGUCUUACCUCAGCUGGACAUCCCCAUACAUGAAAAUGUUUCAGACUAGGCUUUCGCCCAACCUAAAGCUCAUAAGGUGUUUUGGCAGCUGCCUUGGUUGGCACUCUAUUUGAAUAUAAGCUACAGUCUUUAAUGUCUCUCCCUAGAGUGACUCUGGUAAGUUAGAAUGACAAAUCAUGCUUCUUACCAUAUCCUUAAGAGUUAUAUUUCGUCUUUCAGCUACACCAUUCAUGCUAGGUGACCCCGACAUGGUGUACUGUGGGACGAUUCCACAUUCCUCUAGGUACCUAGCAAAAGGCCUCAGACGUUGUUCACCUGAACUGUCAUAUCUGUCAUAGUAUUCACCACCACAGUCAGAUCUGACACUCUUGAUUCUUUUGUUGAGUUUAUUUUCAACUUCAACUUUAAAUGUUUUGAACACAUUCAGAGAUUGUGACUUUUCAUAUAUAAGAAACAGGUAUGCAUAUCUGGAGUAAUCGUCUAUAAAUGAUAUAAAAUAUUAUUGAUCAUUACAUGAAGGUGUAUGAAAUGGCCCACAAAUGUCUGUAUGUAUCAAUUCCAAGAUGUCUGUAGCUUUAUAUGCACCUAAUUUCUUGCUUUUUGUCUGUUUACCUUUAAUGCAUCUAACACAAACAUCAAAGCUUGUGAAAUCAAUGGAAUCCAAGAUUUCGUUUGACAUAAGUCGUUCAAUUAUGUUCUUAGAAAUGUGACCUAAGCACUUAUGCCAUAAUGUUCCUGAGUCUGUAUUAUCAAUUCUACACUUAGUACCACGCAAUUCCGCAUUAAAGGAUUCACCAUAGGAAGCUACAGUAUCAAGUAAAUAUAGAUUAUCAUAAGCCAAGAGUGAACCAGUUCUAACAAUAUCUAAAUUAAAAGACAACCUAAAUACAUUAUUUCCAAAUGAACACAAAUAACCCAAUUUGUCCAAAUAAGAAACUGAAACCAAAUUCCAUCUAAAUAACGGUACAACAAAAAUGUCCUUCAAAUCCAAAUAAAAAACAAUACAUAAUAAUAGUCUAAAAUGCCCUAUAGCUUCCACCUCCACCGAUUUACCAUCUCCAACAUAUAUCUAUCUUUCAAAAUCAAUUGGCUUCCGGUAGCUUAGGCAAUCCUACAUUGAAACAGUGAUGUUAGUAGUGGCACCAGAAUCUAGCCACCGAAGUGUUUCUAGGUACUAAAGCUAAAUUGACCUCAUAACAGAACAAAGUAAGAAACAUACCUUUCUUUGCACGCCAAACAUGAUAUUUGGUACAUUUCUUCUUUACAUGUCCAGGCUUAUUGCAAAAGAAACAAUUGUCACCUUGAAUUUGUUUCUUUUCUGUUGGACCCUUAGCAACUUCAUUCUUGGGCUGCUCAGUUCUUUUUCUUUUGCCCUUGUCUUUAGAGGUACUUACAGCAUGAGCACUUUCAAUCCUUUCUUGCUUCAGCCUUUCCUCGUCUUACACACAGUAUGAAAUGAGCUCAUUAAGAGACCAUUUUUCCUUCUAACAGUUAUAAGAUAUCUUAAACUAACUAAACUGUGAAGGUAGAGAAAUUAACACUAAAUGAAUAAGCAAAUCUUCUGAUAGCUCAAGCUUUAAUGCCCUUGAUUUUGAAGCAAUAUUUGACAUUCCCAUAAUUUAUUCCCUGGCAUUUCCGUUUCCUUGAUACUUCAUGGAGAUUAAGUUCUAAAGAAGAGUACUUGUUUCCGCCUUAUCGCUUUUUGCAAAGCACUUUUCAAUUUCAGCAAGGGAUUCUUUGACACUAGUUACAUCAUUUGAAACAGUACCCCUAAAGACCCAGGAAUGUCACGCUUAAUGAUCAUACAAUUCAUGCGUGAUCCCACUUCUCAUGAAGUUUCCUCUGUUUAGAGGUACUGGAAUCUAUAGGAAAAAGGAGUUUCUCAAUCCUUAAUGCAAGGUCUAGAUCCAUUCAGCCAAGAACAUUUUGCAUGUUCUCUUUCUAGUCCUUGAAAUUUGUACCGUUAAGAACCGGAACCGAAUUUAGAUUAGCCGAUAUAGAAGCAACAACUAAAAAGAUCAAAACAAAUAAUGCAAUAAGCUCACAUAACAAUCAUCAAUGCAUUUAAAUAAUGGUAUAUCCCAUCUCAAGAUAUCUAGUGCACCAUUAAUAUGAAGUCUUUGGACAGCGCGGUAUUAAUUGCUAGUGAUAUUCUUGUUGUAAUGUUCAAACGUUGAUAAUAAAAGCAUAUCAAAUAACAAACCUAUCUUUUGAUGUGAUUUAUCAUUCAUAUGCAAAACCUCAUAAUUAUCAUACGUUUAUAAGUGUGUAUGAAAAUUAGUUAAAUGGUAACUUUCCUUUGGGUCAAUCAUCACUCAUAUAAAUAAUCACACACGAUAACAUUUCUCAUGAACAAUCUACACAAGAGAGGUCACUUUGGUGAUAUCUUAUUCAAUUAGCUCAUUUAAAUGCUAAACAAUUAAAAUUAUAUAUUGUAGCUAAAUUUUGAACAUUGAUGCACCAGAUCCGAUAAUAAAACAUUUAUAGAGUAAAUUAUUUUAACUUUAUUUAUUUAUUUCAAAUUUUAGAAGCCCAUUGUUGUUAUUUUAAUUUAUUGUAAUGACCUCUAAUGGUAAGAACGAGCACAAAGUUACAUGUAUGUAUAUAUAUUAAUGAUGCACUGUAACCUUUAAAUGAGCGGUGCAUUUACAUAUUGUUGGUAAGAUCAAGCAAAAAUAUGUAAAAUAUCUAAAUUCAUUUAAAAUUUAGAAUAUGCCAGCAGCUUGAAUAAAAAAAAUUUCCAAAAUCAUACAUGAAUCAAAAGUAUGGGUGGCUCUGAUGCCGAAUUGUUGGGAUUCAAUCAAUCAACCUAAUUUGAUUCUAAUAGACAAUUAUCAAUUCUAACCACAUGCUUACUAUCCAUGUAGAGAGAAAUUACAGCAUAAAGAUGAAUAAAACUCCAUUGUGUUCCCACACUCAAAAUCAUGACGAAAACUAAAUACAGAAGCGUAUCUGGAUUAAUCAUAAUAGAAUGAUGAAAGGUUGAUAAGGAUCAAGAUUGGUUUUAUGAUCUUCUAGAUGUAGAGUUUUAUUUUCUUCUCUGAAUUUUCUCUUCUGAUGGGGAUAAAGAGAAAAAGAAAGCAAAACUAUAUGUUUUGUCGCUUCUCUCUACAAAUGGGACCAUAACCUCUUGUAUUGCUAACUUCCAUCAGUUACCCCAAAUUUGCUAAUUAUAAUUUGGCCCUUCAUCAAAUUAUAAUAUCACUAAUGGUAUCUACACAAUUAGUCUUUCAUGACAUAUAUGCCCUUAUUCAUAAUUUUAUAUUGAUUAGACCACUUUAAUAUUUUGGCUAAUAAAAUAAUGGCCAUAACUCAUUCAUGUGAUAUAUAUAUAUAUAUAUAUAUAUAUAUAUAUAUAUAUAUAUAUAUAUAUAUAUAUAUAUAUAUAUAUGUAUGUAUGUAUGUAUGACCCAAAAUUGCUAACAGACAAUCGUUGAGAAUACAGAUCUCGUGGUGCCCUUUACCCUAAUAGUGCUCGACGCGUUGGCGGAGGCGAGCCACUCGCCGUUGGGGGGAAAUCGCACCACCAUGGCAAAGUAUGCAUGAUCCCAAUAGAAGGAUACAUGGAGGGGUUCUAGAGACUCAUGAUGACGAUCGAUUUACCAUUGGUGUAGAGAUGUAGUUGGACUUGGGUUCGCUAGAGAUCAAAAUCUUGCGAUUGUGCUGUCAUUUGAGAAGGAGAGAGGAAAAAGGGGAAAAGAAAAAGGGAAGGGGCCUCCAUCGUCGCUAGUCACCUCCGGUGGUUGUGAACGACAGCGAGUCAUUUUCUAGUUGCAGGUCACACGAAGGAGGGUGGUCAUUGGUUGAAGAAAAGAGGUAGAGGGAGAGAGAAGGAAAAAAAAAAUCUAAUGUGAAGGGUGUUCAUGUAGUUGCAAGUCACUUUAACUUUAUUAUUUUUUUAAUAAAAUAGUUUAUUAAAUUAAAAUAAUAUAAAAAAAAUCAAGUGAUAUGUUAUGUUAUUGAUAUCUUUAACGUAACUUCAUAUGUAUAUUGUGUGGUCAACUAAGGAAUACAUCAUCAUAUAUUGAAUGGAGACCAUAAAUUUCAUAUAAAAUUUUUAAAAUUUCAAGACCCAAGAAAAAAAAAUAGAAAAAUUUGUCAGAAAAAUUAUCUCCUAAUGAUCAAAACCUCCAAGAUUUUAUAAGAAAAGUUAUUUCAAUUAAUUUAAAAAAUAUAUAAUGUAUUUAGUUCAAAUAAAAGACCUUUACAUUGUUGUAUAUGUAAACAAAUAAAUGAAUGAAACUUUAUCAACAUUUUUAAAAUUUAUAAGAUAAGGAUAAAAUAAAAUGUACAUGUUGUAAGAAAGAAAGAAAAGAAAAAACAUAUUAAUGUGAUUGGAUGCAUCCCCUUCAAUGACACCUGAUGGUUCAUGCAAUUAAAACAUAGCUUCUUCCUCUUUCCAAAUUAAAAGCGACGUGUAACUAAAUUUAUAGAUUCAUUCUUAAGUCAAAUUGUAUCGACCCAUAUGCACGUAAGUCCGGGCUGUUAAUUAAAGCGUAAAAUCAUUUUUGAUUUUUUUUUCUUAGUUCAAAAAAUUAGGAAUAUUUUUUUAAUUUAUUGGAUCAAAGACUAGUUCAACAUGUGGUGUGUGUGGUUGUCCUUGUACCAAGAAAAUUAUUCACACUAUGAAAGUUAAAUAGAUCAUUUUUUCAUCCACGGAACAAAACCUUACACUAUUAAGUCAAUUAUUUGAAUUGAAUAUUUUUAUUUAAUAUUUAAAAUAAUUAAAAUUAAUGUAAUUAUAAUAAUUCAUUAUUUAAUACUAAAACUAAUUUUAAACAAAAAAAAAGUUUAUUUAUGAAAUACUUUUUGUCCAAAAUCCCUGAUGCAUGUUUGAUUUGCAGUUGACAAUCUUGUAGAACACCUUCUAAUACAAAUUCAAUACAUAAAAAUAAACUAAACACAAAAAUAAAGAUUAUAAUUCAUUGACAAAAUUACUUUUGUCUCAAACAUAAUUUUAUAACUGCGAGCGCAAUAAAAUAAUACAUUGUUAAAGUUAAUGUAAAGGACAAAUUCAUUGGUCUAACAUUUAAAGAUUACAUCCAGAAAAUUCAUUCUUCAUCUCUAUUACAUGAAAGAAAAAAGAAAUCUUAAUUCCUACAACAAGAACAUAGAUUACUCAGAAUCCUUUUAAUUCUUAACCAUCUCUAAUAAUUUAUUCACUCCUCGAUGUGGAGAGGACAAUAAGCACACAUUAAUCUAGAAAUCACUGCUUGAAAGAGGUUCAUGACCAUCAUCUCCAAUGAAGAUAUUAUCAUAGAUUACUGCAGCAAUUGCUGCACCAAUGAAUGGACCAACCCAAUAGACCCAGUGAUGGGUCCAUGACCAUGUAACCACAGCAGGGCCAAAGGACACAGCUGGGUUCAUGGAUGCACCAUCAAAUGCACCACCAACUAAGAUGUUGGCACCCACAAUAAAGCCAAUUGCAAUUGGUGCAACAACUCCCACAUUCCCUUUCUUUGGGUCCACUGCUGUGGCAUAAACUGUAUAUACCAACCCAAAAGUCAUCACAAUUUCAAAAACUAAUGCAUUCCAGACAGACACACCAGGUGAUAGGGAAAAGCCUGUUGUUUCCUGCAAUGUAGAAAUUGCAAAAUGAAUUAGAGUUUCAAUCAUGAAUUGAGUGCAAAAGGUUACUAUAAAUUAUGAAUAGCAGCGGUAAAUUAAGGCUUAAGCAGAAGGUGAAAUAUGGUUACCAUUCCACCGGUUGCAGACUUGAGAAGAAUGCAUGCAACAACUGAACCAAGCAACUGUGCAAUCCAAUACAAAAUACUUCUCAACAGGGUUAUGUUUCCUCCUAUGAAGGCACCAAAUGUGACUGCAGGGUUUACAUGACCACCAGAAAUGUUUGCCCCAACAGAGACAGCCACAAAAAGCCCAAAUGCAUGAGAUAGUGAUGCAGCAAUGAGACCAGCUGGUGUUGCAGGUCCAUUGUUGGUAAGUUUGCCUGCGAAAAAUAACCAAUGAUUAGUCAUUUCACUAGCAAUCAAAAUCGAGGAUACAACUAUUGAACGUCGUGUUGAAAUUUUCAACUCUUGAUUAAAAGUAUACAAAUAUUAUGUAGCUAGAAUUAUUUAGAAUGGAAGUAUGUAACUAUUUCAAGUAUGAGUGAUUCUGAUUCCUACCACUUUGUUUUAUAAUACUCUCUUAGUUUUUACUUAGAAAUGUAAGCAACUAUGUAUGGUUCGGGACCAUCAUAGAUUCCAUCAAUAUUUAUAUAACAAGUAAUCAAAGUUUUAUUGUUUUUUUUCUUGUAAAUUGAAAAAUUAGACUAUGCGCCACUUAGAGAUUGGUCAAGACAAUAUAAACAUGUGAUGGUCUUGGACUAUAUAAUAAUUUCUCCUAAUCAAGGGAGGCAAAGAGAGAGCAGAGGAAUAUCGAAUGUCUGGCAUUAACUUUACACUAAAGUCUUAAAAAUACUCUGCAACACUACUUGUAAUUUAAAUUAUUCUAAACUGCAAUGUAACUUUAAAUGGGACUAAGAUAUAUAAACUUGUAAAACUCAUUUUGGAAUGAAAAGAAUACUAUGUUGAGUGCUCACUGUAAGCCAUGCCAGAUCCUUCCCCAGCAAAAACAAAAAUGAUCAUGGAGAAGAAUUCUGCAAAUGCUGCUCUGAUUGCAUCAGGUUGGCCAGCCUCUCCAGGGGUCCCAAUUGCAAUUCUAUAUAUUGCCAUUAUUAUUAGCUAGCUCAAGAAACAGAAGAGAAACUUAUGUGUUUCCUGAUUUUCUUUUCUAUAUAAUUUGGUUAAAAAAGUGAGGACAAAGUGUGAGAGCUUUGUUUGCACUUUAAAAACCAAAAUUAACGGCCAAGGAAACGGUCAGUAAGACUGUGUACCAUAAUAUUGUAAGCAUGCAACGUAGGACUAAGGAGUGGAGUCUUCAUUAGGAAACUUGGUCAUAGUCUUGGCACGUGUGUGGCUGUGAUGUGAUGUAGCUGAAGUGGGAGAUCCAAGGAUUCUUACAAAAGGUUUUGCUAAAUAAUAUUUUCAGCAUUAGCGAAAGUGCCGGCUAGCCUAAUAUUUGACGACCAUAAUUAAGAAUAGACUAUGUUUGAUUUUUUUUAAUGACUGAUAGGUUGUAAGUUGGGUGUCUAAUAUAGUAAUCAUAUUUAUAAAAAUAAUAAAAUUAUCACAUCAUCUAUCACAUUAACAUCUCAAUAUCACAUUAUCACUAAAAACAUAAAAAUCAAAUGUGGAAUAAAAAGGUUUAAGAGAUCAAAAUUUUAAAUAUAAAAUUAUAAAGAUCAAAAGUAAUUCUAAAUUAUUUAUAAUUUUCAAAUCAAAUAAGGAUAUCAUUGUUUAACAAAUUACUUUGGAAUUUAUUUUUUACUUUUUCUUUCAAAAGUUGAAGUAUAAUAUUUUGUUUGAAUGAACUUGUCAAUAAAUACUUAUGAUGUCAAACCUCUUCCAUAAAUUAAAAUCAACUUAUAUAAAAGUUAAAUAAAAAACUUCUAUAAAAGUGAAAUAUAUAAAUUAAUUUUAAUAACUGAUUUAUUUUCCCUUCUUUUAAAAGUACUCUUUGAAACGUUUAUUCAAACAUAUUCUAAAUAAUUUACACACGGGCACACCAAAAUCCAAAGACUUUUAUUUCAUGUAAAAAAUGGGGGGAGCGAGGAAGAUUAGACUUUUGAACCAAAGUACCAUUCUUAGAUAUACAAGAGAGAGAAGGGAUGAAAAACAUCUUAGCAUAAACCGGCAUUAUCCAUCUACACUUACUGGUGGGGUUGUGUAGAUUUCUACUUAAAAUACAGAAUCUAGAGAGGGGGAAAAAAGGUAGACUGAAAAAGGGGGAAAUAAAAAAUCCAGAACACUGGCCUCUUCUUCUGUCACGCUCGAAGAGCAAACGUGAAGCAGGUGAUUGGACGUGAAGCAGGAGAUGAAAUGCUCUGAAACUCCUAAGCCUAGGUAUGGUAAAUGUUUAGCACUGAACUUUGAAUCUUUAUUAAUGUAAAAAGGAUUGAAAAAAUGAAUGUUAUAAAAGACUAAGAAUAGUUAAGAUUCUUGGCCAAAUACACUUGAAAAUAUGCAUUCAAUAUGUAGGGAAAAAUACUCAGGAUUCCAGCAGCAAAAGGAAUGCCUUCCAAACUAUUGCUAUAUAUAUACAGAGGUUACAACUCUUCGAUCUGAACUUUCUACAAUUAUGACAAAUUGGAAAAGAAAAAAGAACAAAAUUACAGUUAUGAAUAAGUUCAUCAUCCACGCGUAGUUAGGGAGAGUGAAAAGGAAGUCCAGUAAAAGAGUGUCACCUCACCUCAGCAGAAUUAGUGUUGAUUUCACUAUCUCUUGAGAAACAAAUUAAUGCCAUGGAUAGAAAACACCCUCAGUCUACGCUGCUUGACUCCAAAAGAAUUCAACCCAAGUCCGCAAAACCAACCAAACUCCAAAAUCCUAUAUUUAAAUUCCUACACAUCUAUUUGUCCUACAGUAUUCUCUUCCUAUGCCUACAAAUGCCAGGUGCUGAUCCAAGCCCCAUCAUUCUCAUUGCCAAUUUCCAGUUUCCACCCCACAUUCCAGGAAAAACCCUUCAGGUGCAGAAGUCACCAGUGAUUCAACUCAAGCAGAAAAUGAGCCAACAAUUAGUAGCAAUUACUCACAAGUCACAACAUCACAUACUCCCCAUCCUAAACAAGCCUAUGCUGACGCAAAGCCUUACCAAAAUGAGGUUGCAUCAGUCGGACAUACAAACCAUUCUUUGCUACCAAUGUAUCAUGACUGCCCUCCUCCACUAUCCGUCCUCCAUUAAGCACUACAAUAUUGUCCACAUGCCUCAUCAUUGCAGCCCUAUGCGCUAUUAGAAUAGUUGUCUUGUUUCCCAUUAUUAGUGUGUCUAUUGCCUCUUGCACUACUCGGCUUGACUCAGAUUCAAUUGCUGAACUAGCUUCAUCCAACAACAAGAUAGGGGCAUUUUUCAGCACUACCCUAGCAAUUGCAAUUCUCUGUUUCUGCCCUGGGGUUAAGUCAACACCUCUCAUCCCAACAUGAGUGUCAUAACCAUGAGGCAAGCUGCUAAUGAAAUGAUGAGCAUUCGCUAUUCUUGCAGCCUCUUUCAUCUCAGCUUCAGUUGCAUUAUGCCUUGCAUAUAUGAUGUUUUCCCUUAUGGUUGUUGAGAAGAUAAUAGGUUCCUGCUGAACCAGACCAAGGUGGCUCCUCAACCAUCUCAAGUUAUAUUGCUUUAAGUCCCUACCAUCCAGGAAAACUUGGCCUGCAACUGGGUCAUAAAACCUCUCAAUCAAAGAUAUUAUAGUGCUCUUUCCUGACCCAGAAACUCCCACAAUAGCAACUGUUUGGCCCCCAGUGACUUUGAGGCUAAAAUUGCUCAAUACCAACACUUCAGGACGAGAUGGGUAACAAAAAUCAACAUUUUUUAACUCGAGGCUUCCAUAUACAUUGGGUGGCUUCAAUGCUGAGCUAUCAUCAGGAUCAAUUAUAGGCACACGAUCUAUAAUGUCAAACACGGAUAUGAGAGAUUUUCGUCGUUUAAGUAUGUAAGGAGCCAAUCCAAAAGGCUCCACAAGUGCAAAUGUUGCAAAUGAGAAAACCAUGUACUCCUUGAGUGCAGUAGGUGGAUCCAUGUAACCACGUUUUAUACAUAUUGCAGUGUACCAAAGUAGCAGGGCAUUACAAGCAAAAAGUAGAAACUGUGAAAAGCCAAAUGCAAAACCAAUUGCCAUCCCAUGAAGAAAGCUCUGCUUAAAUAUUUUCUUUAAUUGCAGCCUGUAGAGCUCCAUUACCUUGUUACCAGCACAAAAGGCAACAACAGUGUAAAUGUUCCUAACUGCAUCUUCAAGAACCAAAGAUGCCUUUCGGUGCAUUUCCUGGAUGCCCCUCGAAAAUCCAGCAAGCCAAAAUUUCUGCAAUAUUCAAGCAGACUGCAUUUAAUAUGGUUUUCAUGCAGAAAAUUAAAGUAAAUAAACCAGACUCCUAUUAUUCUUAGCAAGCUUUGGCAAGCCAUUCAUUAAUUCAUAUAAUUUAAAGAUCCAGAAAAUAAAAGCCAUGUAUUUCACAGAUCUCACUUAUCUAGAACAGGUACAAUAAUUUAAUAACAUUCAUUUCAAAAUAGUUAUAUUUCAGCAGGUGCAAACCUGGGCAAUGGCAGAAACACAGAGAAUUGGAAAGGUUGCAAAAGCCACAAGUGCUAACCGCCAGUGCAGCAAAGCACCAAUGAGAAGACCAACAAUAACUGCAGCACUGUCCUGUAUAAAUAUGGAAAGCCUGUUGCUAAAAGCAGCUCGCACAAAAGUAGCAUCAUUGGCCAAUCGCAUGGACAAAUUGUCAGCACUGUUUUCCUCAUCAUCAAACCAUCCCACUUCAUUGCGUAGCAUGGCUGCCAUUAUUAUAGAAGCAGGUUAAGUAAUGUUCAAAAUUAUAAAUUUUUUGAAAGAAAAACACUGCUAAAGAGGAGUUAUGAACCUGAGAACAUCAUUCUCCUAACUCUUUCUGUCAUUUUCUCUCCCAUAAUACCAAAGUAGAAAUGCUGUAAAAAGUUGGCAACUACAGUCACAAUACCCAUGCAGCCAAUGAUCAAGCACCACCUGUCUACCUCCCGUUCAAGGUGAUGAGGGUCAUCAAUUCUAUAGUAAGCUGUCACCACAAGACCAAUAACAUAAGCAAGAAGGGGAUUGAAAGACCCAAAGAUAGCAGCACCUAUGCUUCCUAACACAGCAUAAAGCCACUCAGUAAAACUAAGCUCAGCCAGCUUCUGCAGUGAUGGUGGUUUUCGAUGCCGUGCACCCUUUGUUUCUCUCAUUUUAACUGAAACAUCAUCAGAAUGACUAAGUGGUCUACUAAAAGUCUGUGAAUGGGAGCGUUCACUUUUAGGAUCAGAUGUUAAAAGAGGUGAAAUGGGAGAUUCUGGGUCAGACUCAUUUGACAUAUGUCGAUGCACAGAAUGAACAUCAAUCUUGGGUAACUCUGGCAGUCUCAUUUCAAAACUAUCCUGCCUUCUUAUUGAUGGCUCCUUAUCUGCUGCAUCCAAUGCCAGACCAUUUUCAAGCAUUUUCUCAGACGGUGGGCUCUGGACUUUUGGUGAUUCUAGCAAGUUAAAGGCGCCAUCUGGAGGUCGGGAUGCAUUAGAAACUCUUUGAAGAGAGGGCGACUUAAUCAUUUUAGGGGAUGAUGGUUCUUUGAAGCUAUGACUCGAAGAAUCCUUCUCAAUUUGGAAGGCUGAAGUUUCCUUGUAGUUUCGAACAGGCAUCCUGGUGAUCAUUAAAAAAGAAAAAAAAGUAAGCCAUCAAAAUGCCAGUGGGAAUAUCUUAAACAUUAUUCAAACAGAAAAUGUUAAAUGCUGUAGUUCAGUGGUCGUUCAGAUGCACUAAAGUGUAAACAUUAUUAGUUUAUUAUUCUAAGAAAUAUUUUUCUAAACAAACUUUUGCCUCUUUCAACAUCCCAAUAUUUUAAGAGAUCCAUGUUAUAUCAUGGUAGACUAAGAAUAAUGCAUGGGAAAGGAAGAAGUGUGACCUCUUGGGAAGUUUUGCUGCCUCUUCACAUCGAAGAAGCUCUGCAUAUAAGCCAUCCAGUGCCAAUAAUUCGUCAUGAGUACCCAUUUCAACAAGCUGGCCUUCCUCCAUAACGGCUAUAUAGUCAGCAUUCUUUAUGAGACUAAGCCUUCGAGCAAUUAUUAUUGUUGAGCGUCCCAACAUAAGCAAAUCCAGAGCCCCCUGAACAGCCCUCUCAGCCUCAAAAUCAAGUCCACCAGUAACCUCAUCAAGAAGAAGAAUUGAUGGAUUUAGAAGCACAGCUCUAGCAAUAGAAAGUUUUAUUUUCUGCUCUUCGGUCAAAGAUAGACCAGCCCUGCCAACCUGAAAGCCAGGAGCACCAGUUUUGGAAAUUAAAACCUCACUGCCACUUAAAGGAAACAUUAUAAUGCAACCAAGUUUUACCUGUGUGUCAUAACCCUUCUCUAAUGAGCUGAUAAAUGUAUGUGCAUGAGCUAUUUUAGCAGCCUCUUCAAUUUGAUCCAUGGUGGCAUCCCUCCCAUAAGCAAUGUUGUCUCUUAUACUCAAACUGAGCAAAGCAGGCUCCUGGGUGACUAGUCCUAUUUGGCUCCUCAGCCAUUCCAGUUUCAAAUUUUUUAUAUUUUCACCAUCUAAAAGAACUUCUCCUGAAUCACAGAUUGGCAAAUCAAUUUAAAUAUGCAAAUCACUUUGAAUGCAAUAGUAAAAUCAUACUGCAUCAAGGGGAAAAUAAUGACCUAAUGUAGGAUCAUAAAAACGCUCCAUGAGUGGAAUAAUACUACUUUUUCCAGAGCCAUUUCUGCCAACAAGUGCUACAGCUUUCUUAGCAGGUACAGUGAGAUAAAAUCCACUCAAGAUAGGGAUUUCAGGACGAGACAGAUAGCUGAAAUAAACAUUCCGGAACUCUAUAUUUCCUUGCACAGAAUCAGGGGAAGUGCCAUCAUGAUUAACAGAUGAGGAUGACCGACUUAUCAUCUCAAAUAGUCUAUAAGCAGCUAUUCGUCCCUGAUCAAAUGAGUAGAAAUUUGUCGCUGCUUGAUUCAAUCCCCUGAAUAAAAGUAACAAAAAAUUUAGGUGAAAUAAUUAGCAUAUAUUAAAAUAUGUGAGUUGGGUGGGAAAAAUGCUCACAGGCCACUUAGAAUUACAGCAAAAAGAGCUGUUAUAAUUUCACCACCAUGCGCUUUUCCGUGAAUAACCAAGAAUCUUCCAACCCAGAGUUGUAAUGCACAAGAACAUAUUGCUAGUCCAUACGUAAAUCCAAGACCAAGCCCUUGAACAAGACUGAUUAAUAUACCAUAUCUAAGAGUAGCUUGCAGUGAUGUUGCAUAUGAAUACUUGGCCAAAGUUUCAUUUGAAAAUGCAUACAAUGUCCUUAUAUAGGAAACUGCCUGCAACACAAGAAAUUAUCUAUAUUGAGAAUCAGUAGCACUAAAACACUUCACCAUUCUUACGAGCACCACUUCAAAUUCAAAAUAUUAAAGAAAAAAUAAAGAUAAAAUUGAAGCAUUUCUGAUCUUAUUAACAAAACAGCAAUCAGGGCAAUCAGAGCAUUUCCUACUUCAAAACUGUUUCAUAUACAAUAAUCUGAGAUGUAAAAUACAAAUAGCUCUAUGUAUAAUCUGAGACUCUGACUCCAUCAUGCUAUAGAGAAAAUAACUAGCAAAAAUCUUGAAGCAUUCAUCUAUAUGACUAUCUCAUGCAUAAACACAAGAAAAGAGGAAAGUACUUGUUUCAUUGUAACAAUUAAAAUCAAACAAUAAACAACCUGUUCAGCAAUGCUAGCUGCUUCAGCAUAUGCAUCUUGGAUAUUCUCUGCAAGCCUAUGAAGGAAUAUGUUUGAUAUUCCUCCAGCAGCAACAAUAAAUGGACCCGUGGCUAACGUUAUCAAAGCAAUCUGCCAACAAUUGACAAGGCCAAUGACAAGACCACUGAAGAAUGUAGCCAUAUUAUGAAUAUAAUUUCCAACCUGUAUCAUCAAAAACAUAUAAAUAUAUUAUACAAGACAUAUGUCCAAAGAUAUUAACUGCAGAGAAAUUAACAUUUUCAAAGGAAGUAAUUUAUACACAUGGUUAAAAUAAGACAUACUUUUUCACUGAGGGCGGACUGGAUAAGCAACACAUCACUUAAUACUUGACUCACUAUGUCUCCAUUAUUCCCAUAAGUAUCAAAAAAACUCAUGUCUUGAUUAAGUAGUACUUGAACAUAUUUUGACCUGAUGACAGCAGUCUGCCGUUCUCCCGUCAAAAUCCAACAUGAAACCUCUAUUUAACAGGAGGGUAAAAGCAUUAGAAUUGCACAAGACUUAAAUGCAACAUCUCAUAAAGCACACUUAUCAUUAUUAAAUAAACAUUUAACUUACCAAUCCAACCAGCAACAAAAACUCCCGCAGCAAUAUAAACAAUAGUUAAAGCAAGCUGCAGAAGAGAAAAAAAGUAAGUUAGCCAAAGUCCACUGAUUCACAAACAACAAUGCCUUGCAGAAAACUGAAGAUAAUUUCACCCCUGAAGUUUCCCCUUUUCAAAAUUUCAAAUAACAAAAGGUAUACCAAAAGCAAACCAACAAAGAAUAAGAGAGACACAACUACGAAAAAGUUAAGAGAAACCAUGACAACAGUAGAAAAUGGAGUAAAACUUCAGCAUGCUCAUUAAUGGAGAGGAAAAGUAUGUUCCCCUGACUUUAAGCAUUUCAUGCUUUCUAUCUCAAAGGUCCCCCAAAUAAUAGAAAAACCAAAUCAAUUGCAUGGAAAAAAAAAAAGCCUUCUAAUCCUUCUACUCUCUCUCCUCCAAGAGCUGAAAAGGCCAAACACAAACAGAAUGUAUUUUGAAGCUAUACUUACAACGCAAGAAUACCAGAUAACAAUUAACACAAGUCACAAAUAUGUAUUAUUGUCUGAAGUUUUCAUACGGUUCGGUAAUUUAGGGAAGUGUUAUGGAUUUAAGGAAGUUGCUGCUUGUACUGCACUCUAACUGAAAGGAUAUGUGCCAUUGUGAAACUAAUAACAAUAUCCUCAAUACAAAUACAGGAGUAGGAUCAGUACAAUCAACGCCUUUUAUUCAAUAUAUUAACCACUUCCUUACCUUUCCUUCCUGUUUUUGACUCUAUAUAUUCUUGACAAGGAGAAACAAAAUUGUAACCACCAUAAUUAUUACCAUCCUUUGCAAAAAUCAAAAAGAAAGAAUCAGGCCAACACUCACAACUCACAAGACAAAUACAAGUAGAACUGUAGAAGAUUCUAACCACCCUAUCUGGGAAUAAAACUUCAAGAAUUUUCAACCCAACGGGAUAUCAUAAUUUUCGUUUCAUCGUCUUGGGUUGAAUUUGCGAUUGGGCUUAUGUUAUUUAGCUGAAUCCGAUCUUGUUAAGAUAUUUUUGACUACAUAAUAGCUGGAGGCCCAAAUCCUUACAGAAUACUUUAUUCCAUACCAUUGGAGGAUAAGUUAUAGUAUAAGAGUCCUAUUUAAAAAGUUGUAACAUCUUUGCUUUCUUAAUAAAAUUAUCAGUUUCAUGAAUUAUGGCAGCAAAUUGCGACCAAGUGUACUCUCGUAAUGCAAUCAAACCCUAGAUGUGAAAUGCAGUGCUUAGGUUUCUCCAAUACAUGAUCCUGCUUUCUUUAAUUUUGUAUUGUUUCCAGAUUCAUUUUCCUUGGCAGACAGCAACACAAAGCAAUCCCAUCAAAACCCUAAAGAUAUCAAAUAGAAAGUCAUCUUUCCACGGGUACUUUCUACAGCAAUCAAAUACAAAAGAAAGUUUCUUUAAAAUCCCUUCCUAUUUUCAGAAAAUUGUAAGUCAUUUAACCUCAAUGAAACUUCAAUAUGUUUCUAAACUUAAAUUCACCCUAGAAAAAGAUAACCAAUUAAAUCCUAACCCACUUUCAUCCUUGUAUGUUUAUGAGAUAAGAAAAAUUGUAAGCUAGCAAUGCACUUCAGGCAAUUAGUUUAAGAAGAGAGUUCACUUCCAAAAGCUCAAGGUUGAAAAAUAGGUUUAAAUAAUAGCUCCAUGACUCAACUAACCAUGGGAGACUCACUCUUGUAUGAAUCAACUCAUUGAGUUGAAAUAAACUACAGAUUGCUAAAGUAAUGAAAUUAUUUAUGACAACUGACAAACUGUUAUGGACAGGGCAGAUAGUCAAAGAUGAUUUCAUUUAUUACUACAAAAUGAUACGACCAAAUAUCUCAAAAGUACUAAACAAUCUAACCUUACAAUUGCAUACAGACUAGACAAGGCUCAGACAUUCCAUGAAAAUUUAAUUGAUCAAAUAUCUAAAGCAACAUUGCACCAAUUCAAUGCAAGAGGAGAAAUUAUGAAAACAAAAAGUGCACCACCGCAGCCAGUGAAAAUAAUCAAUUUUCAAAAGCAGACAAGGCAACGACAAAAUCAGCAGAACUAAACAAUUUUCUUGAACUCCUCAUUGUCCAAUCAAUUACAGAAACAGCAGGAGUUAAUGAUUUAGAAAAUGUAAAUCGACAAACUUUCUAAUUUUCUCCGCACGGAAGUUCUCACAUAUUGACCAAUUUUGUCUGGAAACCAAAAAACUAAUAGAACAGUACAUGCAGCCUAGAAGACUACAAGAACAACAAAAAUAGAAGACACAUUUUGAAAUACAUAGCUUAAAGCCUUAAACCCUAACAAUACCUUCGACAAUCACCAGCUAGCCAAGUGAACCAAAUCAAACUAUCAGAAACGAAAACCUACAUGUACAAGCUAUAUGCACAUACGCAUCAUCAUUACCCCCAACCCAGUCUAAUAACAACAAAGCUUGUCCAUGAAUUCAACAAUUAAAGCUUUCAAUUACAUCUCAACGGUAAAACAUCACCUGAGCCUUAAACAAAGGGGAAAACAAAUUAAAGCAAAAACCUAGGGUUUGCGCAUGAAAACCACAAUCUAACCUCGGUGAACCUGUCAAACUGCUCCUGCGACGUGCCGUGCGGAGGAUCCAACCGCAGCACGUGGAUGAUCUUCGCGAAGUAGUGCAAGUAAAGGACGAGCGCGGUGCCGUGCGCCGCAGCAGCGACGGAACCGACGGCCAUGAGAAACCAAUCGAAGCGGUCGGCGCAUGCGAAGAGCUGCGAAAACGGAACCGCGGCGGGCGGCGGCUCGAUCUCCUCCGGCUCCUCCAUCUCCUCCUCCGCCUCCAACUGCUGCGACGCGGACGUCUCGGCGCUGGGGUCCAGGUACGGCGACGGCGACUCCGGAGGCUCCGACACCUCCGAAACCGGCGUGAGCGGUUGCACGUGCGGCGGGGACCACCCGAACAAACCUCUCGAUACCAUCAUCUCUUCUCUCUUGCCGAAACGGAAACGAAAACUCUUUCCGAACGAAAAUUCUCAAUUCAGCAGAUCCAGUCAAAAACUUAAAAUCCUCAGAUUAUAACUGCGCCUCUUUGUUUUCCUCUUCCGGCGAACGACGUCGUCCUGGCCUUGGCCGCACCGCCGUCGCCGUCUCCUUUUACACCUUCUCAGGUCGGAAACGGUGCACGGAGAGAGGAAACUAUCGUUACCCGAGGCAGCACGCGAAAAUUGUGAACCCUCUCCCGUUUUCUUCUUCUUCUACUUCUCCUUCUUCGGGUUUGGGAGAGUUGUUUCUAUUUAUUUUAUAUAUAUAUAUAUAUAGGUUUAACGGUCAAACGCCGGCGUCGAUGUGCUUUAAGGUAUUUUCCUAAUUUAUGAGUAUUUAUUAAUAUUUGGUUAAAUAUUAAUUGAUUUGUUUAUGGGUUUAUGCUUUUUAGGGACACAGAUACAGUGAGUGUGCGCUGUGACGACAAAGGCAUGCAUGCAAAGCUGGAACAACGGAGAAGGGUGUUUUGGUAAAGUCACGCUCAAUGAUGAUCGAUCAUGGUUUUGUGUGUGCAAAAUUACGUUAGGGUCCUUGAGUGAGAGUCGUUAGAGAUGACACGUGUUACGUGCCGGUGCCCAAGUAAAGGAGCGCAGAGAUAAUUUUUUUAUAUGUUUUUUUUUUGGGCAUUAUAAUUUCGAUGUUUUAAUUUGAAUUGAUCGAUUAAUGUGUUUACAUUUUCAUUUUUUUAAUUUUAUUCUCAAGGUUAGAUUUAAUGUUUUUAUAUACAUAACUACACUAUAUAUAUAAUUUAGUUUUAUCAACUUAAUUUGUGUAUUACAUGGAUCAAAAUAAAAAUUUAUUUUGCAAAUAUUUAAUUAAUCAUUAAAUUAUUUAUAAAUAUAACUUAUGUUGUGUUGAGUUGUUAUAAAUUUUUUAUAUAAUUAUAUUUAAAGUUUUUUAACUUACUUGAUUGAAUAAUAUGUAUGAGUUAUUAUAAAUUAAUAGCUUUUUACAAAAAUUUUGCAUGACUUUUAUUCAUUUUGUUUUACCAAAAUAAUUAAUGAUUUAUUGAUUUAGUAUUUUAGAUUCAAAAUUGAUUUGAUUGAAGUAAGUUCAGAUAAAUUUUACAUUAAAUAAAAACAUGCAUUGCUUUGUUAUUAAGUUGGUUUUAGAAUAAAACAUUCAAUUAUUUAAAAAAAUAAUAAAACAUACAAACACAAAUUAUAUUAUUAUUGAUUUUAAUUAAAAUUAAUUUAUAAAACCAAUUUCAUUUAGAAUCAAAUUUAUUGCACUCACCCAAACACCUAAGAUUGCAUUAGAUGAUAUUUCAAUGUGAUUUUGGAUCAUCCAAGAUGAAUCAAAUCAUGCAUUAAUAUUUUUGUUUCAAAUUAGGUCUUUGAACUUGAUAUGUUUAACUGGAAAGGUCAUAAAGUUUAUAAUUUGACAUUCACCUAGGUCAACAUGGUAAAUGGUAAGUUGGUAAUUGUGUCAUCCAGCCAAACACUUCUUAGGUUGUGAAGGACAUUUGGACUUAACUUGAUCCAAACUAAAGUCAAUAUCUUAUAUUUUAGUCUCAAACAUGUAUUGAACUUUAUAUAAAUGAACAUUACAUUGAUGAUGUCUCUAAAAAAAUAAUGCUUUAUGCACUCCACCCAUUGUAUCAAUUGUCUUGUCAUGUUAAAUACUCUAAAAAGACUAAAAAAUAAACAUCCAUAGUUGAUUGAUUCUAAAUGAAAAAAUGAGCAUCUUAAAACUCUACAUUUCAUUUCUAUGCAUUUUAUAUUGACAUGUAGUUGCAAGUAACUAUCAACACACCAGAUGAAGUAGUUUAUCGCGAGAAAGUCAAUUAAUUCUCCCAUGAUGGAAAAGAAAUUGUAGUCAUAGAAAGUUUGUUUUUCUUGGGAUAAGUGUUGGACUACCAUGGACAAGUUGUUGUCAGUGGUAGUUGGGUGAGUCAUCAAAAACAUGUAGAGGUUGUCCGAUCUUAUUGCCUUGUCGUCGUUGUCAUCAGCGACAGAGGGAGAAGAGUGAGUGCGGCAAUGGUGGGGGAGGAAAAUCAUAAUCCUUAUAGUAUUCACCACCCUUCAACAUGCAACUCCUGACUCUGACUUUGAUAUUACCAAAGCACCAAUAAUUUAUUUAAACAACUAUCUCAUCUAAAUAUUGACCCACCUCAGAUCAUUUUUAAGAUCUCAAAUGAGAAGAAAAAAAAUGUUUGAUAUUUAUAUUGAAUAAGAUAUCCCUUAUAUUGUGUUUUGAAAAAUACUUAUAGUGAUGUUAAUUGUUACACGUAAUAACUAAAAGAUUCAAGCUAUUGUAAUUAUGAUGUUUUCUUUAAUAUAUUUUAUACAAAUAAUUAAUUGUAUAUAAACUUGCUUAAAUUGUUGUUUUCACUUAAAAUUAGCUGAUAAACACAUUCAUGCGUGGGUGGGUUUACUUAAAAAAAAUAUUCGAGGAAUAAUCUUAGAAACCCAUUGUUUAACUGCGACUUUUAUUUAGUUUUAAUCAGUUAAAAGAUUUUUAUUUUAUUUUAAAACAGUUUCACGGCCGGUAAAUUAUAUUUUUUAGCACAAAUGGGUAACAUUUUUAAUAUUAUUAUAUGAAAAUAAUAGUUAUCUAUAAAAUAAAGAAAACAGAUAAAAUGUCAAAAAGAAAAAACAUUAUUAAUAAUAAAAAUAAUGAAAAGGUAGUUUGUUGAAGUUUCCUUUGUGUUUCUGAAAGUUUUUAAAAGGUUUCUUAUUUGCCGAUGAAAUCAUUAAAGUUCUUGCCUUUUUGGGAUUGGGAGUUACCAAAGGACCACUAGGGAUAAAAUUGAGAAAGAAAAAAUAAAUAAAAAAACAUUGAGAACUUGUGCAAAUGUUCAUAGUGCUAGAGUGCUCAAUUGUGUUUCUAGUUCAUGCUUGAUGGCAUUCAAGGGCCCUCUUUGACUUUUUCUAACUAAUUAUUAGGCCAAUUCAUAGAUGAUAGAUGAGGCACUCUCAAAUGUCACCCAUUUUCUUCUUAGAGUUUUCUGUAAUUUGGGAGACUAGGCUCAUGAAUGAUGGAAGAAGUAGUGCAAGAAAGUUAAUUAAUUAUACUCUAUGCUGUCACUCAUCUUUUUUUACUUAUCUUUAGUGGCUUCAAGUCACAUUCGUUAUCUGGCAAAAGCUAGAUACCAUGGAAAGGAUUCUUGUGCAUUGUCACUCACUUUUAUCAGUUUAUGGAAAUGCAUAUAGGACCAUAUCACUAAACUUAACCAAGUGGAAAAAAAUUGUUUAAUUACUUGUUUAGUUCAUAUACAAUCCUAACGUUUUAAUCUCUACAUUUUAAAGUUACAUAUUUUAUUCUCUACGCACACAAUUUUAACUCAUUUGACUCUAUAUACAUAUAUAUUUUUAAUCUGUUUUAGUUCUUAGAAUUUUGAAUGGCAUAGAUUAGAACAAAUUAAAAAAUAUAUAUAUGUAGAAACUAAAACAAAAAAAUUAAGUAUAGGAACUAAAAUAUAAAGAUUAUGUGUGUAUAAUAAAUAAAUGAAUAAUUCUCUAAAAAAAGUAAAUAAAUGAGUAAUUAAAAAAAAUGUUAGACUAACAAGAGAGGGCGCAGGGAGGGUUUAAGGAUAACUUAUUCAAAGUUAGACUAACAAUUUUUGUUUUUUGGUUAGACAAGAGAGGGCGUGGAAGAAUAUGUGAAUGAUAGCUUAUUCAAAGUUUCAACAUCAAAUCCUACCUCUUUUGUUUUAGAAUAGUAUGAAUCUUCUUCUUUUCCAACAACAAAAUUUUAUCUACAACUGAAAUUAGGAUUGUACUUUACAAUUUUUUCCCUCUUCCUAAAUUAUUGUGCAAAGACCAAUUAAAGGUUAAAAAUCUUACACGAUAUUAAGUUGGUUGGUAAUGGUAUCUUUGCUAGAGAAGAUUUCAAUUCGUUUCUUACCUUGAACUUAGUGUAUAUUUUUAUCUCGAUUAUUCAAUUCACUUUUUCGUCUUUUUAUUUUCUUGAGAGUUCAUUAGAAUUCAAGUAAAAAUAAAUUAAAAUAAGGAUCAAACUCUCCUACCUGGCGCUCAACUAUAUAAGAUGAAAACAUAAUGAAAUCAGUAUAAUUAGUUAUUACUUAUAUUUUUUGGACAGAAAUUAUUACUUCUAUUUAAAACUUAAAACAAUUACAGGUAGUUUUAUAGUAUAUUAUAGAGGAAGAUUCUAUAAUGUAACAAACAAUACACAGUCAAAGGCCAAUUCUUGUUUUCAAAAACACGACGGAGAAUUCGAAAAGUGAAUUAAGUCUAAAUCAUUUGACCAUACUGGGUCAAUUGGUUAUAUUUAAAAAUUAAAAUAAAACCUGAGUAAAGUCUGCACCAUUUGACUCUACAGAGUAUAUAUGGCAGAAUAAAUCCCCAAAUAAAGAAAAUAAAGAUGUUUCCCAAGGUCCAUAGGUGUGUAUCAUUCAACCAGGUAACGUGAAUGAAUUGAGUAUCAAAUUCAAGCUAGCAAGUUAUUUUGUGCAUUGUACGAUAUUUUUAAUUUGAAUAAAAUUUAUACUUAUAAGUUAAAAUAAAUAAAUUAUAAAAGUAAUCAAAUAAACAACUAAAAAAAUAUAAAGAAAUUAGAUUUAAAGAGAACAGAGGAAAGUUUUAAAAAGUUGAAAUGAUUAGUUUGAUCAUAUAACUAGCUGAGAUUUAAAAUUAAAAAAUUAAUAUAAAUUUAACUAAUAUUUUAAGAAAAAUGAGGUAACAAAGUAAUUUAACAUGGACGAUUUUUUUUUUUAAAAAAUAAUGAUUUGAGAAAUUUUAAAAUAUAUGUAAAAGAAAAUAUUAAAUAAUGGUGAGAUCAUGUGUCCCAAAAAUAAACUUGGAAAUAAUUUUUUUGUUGAAUAAUUAAUCAAAGAAAAAUAUUAAUUGAACUUAUUAUAAAACUAAAAAAAACACGUGUUAUAGAAGAAAAAAACAUAUAACUACAAUAAUAACAAUGUCAACGUUUUUUAUCUCAUUCAAUGAAACAAGUUAUAUAGAUUACACAUUACCAUUCAACACAAUUAAAAAUCAAAAGUUCAAAAAUAUCAUUUACAUGUCUUCCUACAAUAUAUUUUUUUGUUUUUCCUUUUUCUCUUUUUUACAUGACUAAAAGGCAUGUAAUACUCUUUUGAUUAACGUCUCUUGUGAACUUUUUAUAUGUUUAACUUAUCAUAAAUGAUUUUCUAUUAUCUUUUCAUCAAUAUAUGCAACAAUAAUUUUUUCUCAAUCCUUUAAUUUUACAUAUGUUUUAGCCCAUUUUAAGCUCAAGUUAAGGAGUAGGGUUAUGUUAGGUCUUUGGCAACCAACAUAAAAGUCGAUAUACAAAAUUAUUAGUACAUACAUGAAUAUUUAUCCCAUUUUCAAUAAUUAGAAAUUAAAUCUAUUAUACAAAAGCAAAUUAUAUGCGUUCAUUAUAUAGCAUGUACAUGUACGAGAGGAUUUGAUUUCAAAAUAUUAUUACAAAAAGUUAUUAAAAGUUACUAAUUUAAAAAAAUAAUUAAAAAAAUAAGUAUUAGAAAAAUUAUGUAAAUAUGUAUUCAUUAAAGCCACAAAGCUCUAUAAUUCGAUUAAAGAUGUGACGAGGACAAAUGGAAAGGAGGGAGUUGUAGAUUGUGAUGUGGAUAAGUGAAACUUCCAAAAAGCGAGUCCUCAACCACAUAACAUGUCGUUACUUUGUUCUUUGCAUUCUCACUCUCACACAACAACAAUGAUGUCCCUGCUGCAGAAUUCCCCAACGCUUCACAACUCCUCUUUCCCUCAGGUACCUACACAUGCAUUCAUUCAUGCUUUUAACUCGUGCUAAUUUUAUUCAUUCUGAAAUAUGGUUUUGUUACAGAAGCAUGUCACUCGUUCAUCUAGAAGAGAUGCUAUUUCCUUCAUUGUCAAAGCAGUCCAAGAACCCUCUGCUUCUUUAACUUCUCAAGGCUUGUUCUUCUUUCAUUUUCAACUUGUACCUGUCAUUAUCUUAUAACAAGUUACAUGUGAUGUUGGGGUGUCAUGUGGGGCACAGAAAAUCCUAAUACGAAUUUCAUGUUAUUCGAGGUGAAAUCUUAAUAGUUUUUCAAUUUUGAUUAGCAAUCCCUAUACCUUUGUAAACAAAUUUAUUAGAGAAGUAUCUGACAAACAAUUUUAAAUUCUCCUACAACAUCCUCUUAUUGGUCCUCCUAUUUGCUUUGUAUGGUAGUAAGUAAGUAUUGAAUUUAUUUUUUUUUUGUUUCCUAGACAUUAAUGUUGAAUUGCUAUCAUGAACUGGGACUAUCAAUUUUGUUUUUAAUCCUUUGUCAUACCUUGGCAGAUAGACAAAGAAGGCGCCAAGUGAUUGCCGUUGGAACCACUGCCCCAUUAGUUUUUUUGUUCAACCAACACUCGAACUCUUGUAAGAUUGCAUUUUAAGCAGUUAAAUUUUCCAUAUGUUACUGAACUGUGCUUGAUCACGAAGGAACAAAUGCUGUUUAUUAUGACACCUGUGACUUUCCUAAAUUCUGAGGCCUGACAUCCUGAGGAUAUACCCUUGAUAUGGCUCAGUUGCUGCAGAAAAUAAGAAAGGAUUUUUGCCGGUUUUGGACAAGAAAGAUGGAUAUUCAUUUCUCUACCCUUUUGGUUGGCAGGUGAGUAUUGUUAUAAUACUGUCUGCAGUCUGCACCAGUGUGACUUUUAUAUCUAUAUCAAGUUGAUUUAUUGAUACAAAGCUAAAAUGGAAGUUAAGGUUAGCUCCUUCAUCUCUUUUUUAUAAUGGGGAGUGAGCAGGAAGUAGUAAUUGAAGGUCAAGAUAAGGUGUUCAAAGAUGUCAUUGAACCACUGGAGAAUGUCAGUGUAAAUGUGAUACCAACUGGCAAACAGGAUAUUACAGAAUUUGGGUCCCCUCAAGAGGUUGCCGAAACUCUAAUAAAAAAGGUUUUGGCCCCUCCAAACCAGAAAACCAAGAUAGUAGAAGCAAAAGAGGUUUGAUAUUUUACAUCUCUUUUCCUUGUUUGUAGUCAUUAUUUUUCAUGUUACAAUGUAUUGAGAGAAAAACAAUUCUUUCAUGUGUUCAAAACUACUAUAGAUUGACAAUGUAAGCUACUGGAAUUUUUGACAUCUUCCCUAACUAAACAUCGGCAAACUAGAUGAAUACCAGUUUUAAUGGUUUGUAGUAUUCAUACAAAAACUAUUGCCAACAAAUUUAGAAGAGCAUAUUAGAUAAUUGUUAGAAAUGGGAUUACAAAGAAGAAUGUUCAUUUUUCUCUUUUGGGAUAAAAAGAACAGAAAUCUUUUAUGUUUUUGAGUGUAUUUGGCCAGAGAACAGUUAGUCGUCAUCAUAUUCUGUCAUUUGGCUUGAUCUUCCGGACAUGAGGGAGAAUCACAAUUUAGAAACUUAGUGAUUUGUGAAGAUUUAAAAUGUUAAUGAAGAGUGUUAAAUUAAUGUGUUCAACACAUCAUAAACAACUCUGAAUUUUGUUACUGACUUACUGUUGUCAAAUAGGAAAUCUUUAAGCAACUAAAUGAUACUCUUGAUUUUUGUCUUUGGUGAAAAUGCUACUCUUGAAUUUGUUUUCGUUGUUUCUUUUUUUUUUUUUCCGAAGGUACCUAAUCUUGUUGGUGAAUACGUGCUCUGUGAUUAACAUUUCUUUUAUGCUAAAUGCUUGCCACUUGCAUCAAGUACCUUCACAUUCAAUGUUCUGAUCUCUGGUUCUUAUGUGUGAGUAUUUAUGUUUGUAUAACUGCAAAGACACUGAUCAUGGCUCGCUCCAUCUAUGUAAUGCUUUAGCUAGAUGUUGAAGGAAAAAAAUACUAUCAAUUUGAGUUCAUUGCUCAGGCUCCGAACUAUACUCGUCAUGCUCUCAGCACAGUCUCCAUUGGCAAUGGUAUGAUUUGAUCCUUUUAAAUAUUUGAAGUGCAUGAUGAAGUCUGAAAAUUGACCUUUUAUAUUUAAAAACUGAAUUAAAACUUACAUAAAGAAUAGCAAAGUACCUUGAACCUUUAAAAUUAGAAAAUGUGUGUAAUCUUGUAUCCAAGUUUAGAAUAUUUUUUAACUAUGAAAAAGCAAAACAUUUGAGGUUUUUUUGCUUACCUGAAAGCAAGAUAUUUUUUCAUAGUUCAAAGCCAUCAAACUAGCCCCCACAAGGCAUAAAAAUGUCUCUUUAGAUAAAUAAACAUUACACAACUAAUGAGAUAUCAAUUACAUUAUGAGCACAUUUUGGUAGUUAGUUCCAGAAGAUUUUUAUUGAUGUUUUUCCUUACGAUGUAAUUAUUAAUUGUAGGUAAGUUUUACACCUUGACGACAGGAGCAAACGAAAGAAGAUGGGUGAAGAUGAAAGACAGGCUGCAGACGGUCAUAGAAUCCUUCAAAAUUUUCGACGUUUGAUAAUGAUCAUUACUAUUACCACCAUAUUAGAGAUAUUAAACUCUUCAGCGAGAAUGUUCAUUUGAAUUUUGAGCUUUAUAGUAUCAAGUUUUAUCUGUUUUUUUAUUAUAACUUUCCAAAUAUAUGUACAAUAAAUGAGUAAAUGUAUUGUAUAAAAAAGAAGGGGGGGAUUUCUUUUUUUUUUUUAACACAAGAUAUUCCUCAACUAUAAGGCAGAGACUAAUUAUUCGAAGAAUUGAGAACGGCGAUGGAUAUUUUUCCAUACAAAUAUAUUUUCACAUUCACAACUUUGGAAUAAACCAAAGAGUUUAAUUUAAAUGUGAAAGAAUUUAUAUAAAAUAAACUAAACAUAGCCUAUUCAAAACACAGCGCAAACUAUGAUUAAUCUACCUAAAGAACAAAUGAUACGAACGACAUACAUGAAAGCUCUAUUACGCAUUUACUCUCGCUGCCUCAAUCCGUUUAUGUAAGUUUUAUGUCUAAAUGGAUAUUCUGAUCAAUCAUUCUUAAACACACAGACUACAUUCAUGCUUAAAGUUUUGAACUCCUUUCUAAGCCUUGGAACAUCAAAUCUGGGAUCACAAAAUAUCGGACUGACAUCAGUUCCACGUAACAUAGGUUGAAAACUCGGAAACAAUCUUAUACUGUGUUAUAAGCUUAUAAUGGAACCGUGAUGAGUCAAAAAGCCUGCCCAAAGUUACAUUGCAGUCUAUGACAGACAGCGUCACAAUAUUGAAUGCAUUAAGAUAAAUGCCAUCCAAAACUAUCGAUAGGUUACCAACUCAUUAAUUGUCCAACAAAUGAAGAUCCUGAGCUGACCUCUAAAUAUCCACAGAACAAGCUUGGUUUGUUGAAUAGUACAUGACGCAUCACACCAAUAUCUUGAACAGGGCAACCUUUUUUUUUACAAGAAAUGUUCACCAAAUAGUCUUGACAAAUACCACAGGCCCUGUAGCAACUAUACUAUGUCACAGGUUGUAUGAUUUCAGAAUUACAUUGAUGUAUCAGAAUAUGUUUAACUAUCCAGAAGAAUUAAACAAACAAAUACGCUGAGAACAACGAAAAAAAUAAUGUUACUAGUCUAGCUACAAAAAAAUAUUACAUCAAACACAAAUAUUCACCCACAAUUAUAGGAACUUGCAAUGAAUAGUAUUAUAUUAAAUUUUAUUAAUCAAAUCCUAAAUGCACUACUAAUAUAUGAUUCUCCUUUUGCAAUUUCAAAGGUUAAAAGUAACAAGAGAGACUAAGGAGCUUUUGCGAUGUGGAGUCCAGAUGUAGCUCAAAUAAUAACAAAGCAUAUUAUUGGGCAACGAUGGACACUUUUCCAAAAGAUGUUAUCAUACAACAUGGGAAACCCAUAUGUAUCAGACUCACUCUUGGUAUAUUAUGUCCCAGACAUGUAACGGUAUCCACCAAAUUCCAAACAAAGCAGACACCUGACUAUGUCUGGUAUUCAAAAUAAAAAAAUGUCAUGAAUUGUUUUUCUAUAUUAACUGUUUGCCAACCAAGGAAAAAAAAACUAAAAGGUAUUCUACCACUAUAAUAGGAACUUGACAUAAAUGAUAAGAGGGGCAAAGGUUUUGUGAUGUGAAGUUCAGAUGUAGCUCAAAUAAUAACAGUAUAUUAUUGGGUAACGAUGAACACCUUUCAAAGAGUUAUAAAACAACAUGGGAAACCCAUAUUUAUCAUACACACUCCAAGGAUAUUAUGUCCCAGACAUGUAACAGUCUCUACCAAAUUUCCAAACACGGCAGACACCUGACUAUGUCUGGUAUUCAAAAGAAAAACAAAUCAUGAAUUGAUUUCCUCCACAACAAACGGAAAAAAAACUGACAGGUAUUCAACCACCAUAAUAGGAACUUGCAAUAAUUAAAUCUUGUUUGUGUGUAGCAUUCAUAUAUUCUAAAGGCAUGACUAAUGCAAAAAAGUUUUGCUUGAAAGGAAAAAAGUUGAGUAAAGGGCAGAAAUUGUGAUGUAGAGCCCAGAUGUAGCUCAAAUAAUAACAAUGCGUAUUAUUGGGCAACGAUGGACACCUUUCCAAGAGUUAUAAGACAACAUGGGAAACCCAUAUUUAUGAUACACACUCUAAGGAUAUUAUGUACCAGACAUGUAACAGUCUCUACCAAAUUUCCAAACAUGGCAGACACCUGACUAUGUCUGGUAUUCAAAAGAAAAACAAAUCAUGAAUUGUUUUCCUCCACAACAAACGGAAAAAAAACAGACAGGUAUUCAACCACCAUAAUAGGAACUUGCAAUAAUUAAAUCUUGUUUGUGUGUAGCAUUCAUAUAUUCUAAAGGCAUGACUAAUGCAAAAAAGUUUUGCUUGAAAGGAAAAAAGUUGAGUAAAGGGCAGAAAUUGUAGAGCCCAGAUGUAGCUCAAAUAAUAACAAUGUGUAUUAUUGGGCAACGAUGGACACCUUUCCAAGAGUUAUAAGACAACAUGGGAAACCCAUAUUUAUCAUACACACUCUAAGGAUAUUAUGUCCCAGACAUGUAACAGUCUCUACCAAAUUUCCAAACACGGCAGACACCUGACUAUGUCUGGUAUUCAAAAGAAAAAACAAAUCAUGAAUUAUUUUCCUCAGCAACAAACGGAAAAAAAACUAACACGGGUAUUCAACCACCAUAAUUGGAACUUGCAAUAAUUAAAUCUUGUUUGUGUGUCUAAUGCAAAAAAGUCCAGAUGUAGAGUCCAGAUGUAGCUCAAAUAAUAACAAUCCAUAUUAAUGGGCAACGAUGGACACCUUCAAAAGAGAUUAUAUAAUACAACAUGGGAAACCCAUAUUUAUCAAACGCACUCUCAGUAUAUUAUGUCCCAGACAUGUAACAGUCUCUACCAAAUUACCAAACACGGUAGACACCUGACUAUGUCUGGUAUUCAAAAUGUAAAAAAAACAUGUCAUGAAUAGCAACCAAGGCAAAAGAAAAGUAAAUAGGAACAUGUCAUAAUUAUUGUUUAAGUGUGUAUAUCAAUAGAUUCUAAAUUCUAAUAUCAUGACUAAUGCAGACAAGUUUUGGUUGAAAGGAACAAAGGUGAAUGAGGGGGCAGAGAUUGUGAUGUGGAGUCCAGAUGUAGCUCAAAUAAUAUAAACUAAUACAUU